UAUUACUAAGGCUUUUAUAUUGGAUAAUUAUGGCCUAUCACUAAGGAAUGAGCAACUUAGCCAACAGAAUAUACACUAUUUGACAUAAGUAUAAUAACCAAUAAGGAGAGAUUGAAAACUUCUGUUUAUAGAAAACCCUCGUAUGAUCCAAUCCUUAUUCCUAAUUGAUCACGAGACCCGAUAACAUAUAAGAAAGCUGUACUUAGAUAUUUUUUCAAGAGAGCCAUAUUGUAAAGUUCUGAAUCCACAGAUUUGAAAUAUAAAAUAGAGUACAUCAUAGAAGUAGAGGAACAGCAUGAAUACGGAAGAUCAUUUAUAGAAAGCAUAAGAAGGAAUAUACAAAAAAGCUUCAGCAGUACAGUCAAUAGCUGGGUGCAGAUAGCAAGUCAAGUAAAACAAUAAGAAAGUUAUAUGAUAGUGCCAUAUAACCUCAAAACAUUUAACUUUGUGGAUAAAGUCACUAAAAAGACAAACAAAAAAUUAGCAGUACAAAGGGGACCGACAAUCUUUAGUUUAUUCAGAAACAAAAAAAGACCCCCUAAAAGACUUAGAAAAGCAAGGAGUGUAUAAAAUUUGUAACAAAUUUUUGCUUCUGCUGUGGUUAGCUAGUUUUUCUCUUACAUAUGCCCAUCUAAAUUUAUAUUUUUCAUUUUCUUAAUUUCCUAGGAUGUCUAAGAUGCUCUCUAUGAGCAGGAUUUCGUCUAAUGGAACCAGGUGUAAGUAGCACAUGCCAGGCCUUUUUGGAUUAGCUCUUGUGCAAAUGUUAGGAGGUUUAUGUUGCCUAUUACCAUUAUGGCUUUUUCUAUGUCUAUUUUGGUCUUCUUUGUGUAGAUGCAUUGGGUUUUGAAUAUCCAUUUUAGCUUUUUUAUGUUUUUCAUCCUUAAUCUAUCUUGUAGGACUUUUGUUUGUCAUGUUAUUGUGGCUAGGAAUUCAUUUACAUCUUCAUGGUGGAUCAAUUCCUCUUUGCAUUUUGCUUCUUGGUUGAGCGCUUGGAAAUAUAUUUGUUUUGCAUCUGAAAUCACUACCUUUAGGCAAAUUCUUUUGGUCUUGGAUGGACUUUUUUGGACUUGAUUGGUAGCUUGAUGCAGCAAUCUAUAGGAUCAAGCCUGGAUCCACCAGAAUACAAAAAAGCAGCAGUUAGAUCCUUAUUCAGAAGAGUAUUUCUGCUGUACUCCACUGACCAACAAGACCCAGAAAGUGAAAUAAAAUAUAUUUACGAAGUCAGCC
rnacentral:lncRNA from 1 species